rnacentral:rRNA from 1 species
UGUGACAGCCGUAACACCUAGAAUGCACCUGAUCUCAUCUGAUCUCAGAAGCUAAGCAUGGUUGGGCCUGGUUAGUAUGUGGAUGGGAAGCCUGAUAGGGGCUAUGUGGCCACAA